AAUCAACGCUGGCGGCGUGCCUCAGACAUGCAAGUCGAACGAUUAAAGCUCUCUUCGGAGAGUGUAUAGAGUGGCGCACGGGUGAGUAACACGUAAGUAAUCUACCCUCGAGUGGGGAAUAACAACCGGAAACGGUUGCUAAUACCGCAUAAUGCAGCGGCACCGCAAGGUGACAGUUGUUAAAGAUUUAUCGCUUGAGGAGGAGCUUGCGGCAGAUUAGCUAGUUGGUAGGGUAACGGCUUACCAAGGCUACGAUCUGUAACCGGUCUAAGAGGACGGUCGGUCACACUGACACUGAAUAACGGGUCAGACUCCUACGGGAGGCAGCAGUCGGGAAUUUUGGGCAAUGGGCGAAAGCCUGACCCAGCAACGCCGCGUGAAGGAUGAAGUAUUUCGGUAUGUAAACUUCGAAAGAAUAGGAAGAAUUAAUGACGGUACUAUUUAUAAGGUCCGGCUAACUACGUGCCAGCAGCCGCGGUAAAGUCUGU
rnacentral:rRNA from 1 species